rnacentral:rRNA from 1 species
AUAGGANACAGAAGAAGCUGCUAAUACCGAAUAAGUUCCAAGAGCCGCAUGGCCCAUGGAAGAAAAGGUGGCCUCUACCUGUAAGCUAUCGCCUGAAGAGGGGUUUGCGUCUGAUUAGCUGGUUGGAGGGGUAACGGCCCACCAAGGCGACGAUCAGUAGCCGGUCUGAGAGGAUGAACGGCCACACUGGAACUGAGACACGGUCCAGACUCCUACGGGAGGCAGCAUG